rnacentral:rRNA from 1 species
AAUCAACGCUGGCGGCGUGCCUAACACAUGCAAGUCGAACGCGAAAGGGGACUUCGGUUCCUGAGUAGAGUGGCGUACGGGUGAGUAACGCGUGGGUCAUCUGCCCUCGGGUGGGGAAUAACUAAUCGAAAGGUUAGCUAAUACCGCAUAACACAGUGAUGUCAAAGCAGCAAUGUGCCUGAGGAGGAGCCUGCGUCUGAUUAGGUAGUUGGUGGGGUAACGGCCUACCAAGCCUGCGAUCAGUAGCUGGUCUGAGAGGACGGCCAGCCACAAUGGCGCUG